ACAACUCCCGGCUCAGAGAGUUCUCCACCGCUCCUCCCAGGCUCACGAGGCUCACGGGCUACCCAGUGCCAGCGGCCCGGGAGGCUGGACCACAGGCCUCAGUCCCGACGUCUCCCUGCUGCCCGGCACGGGACCCUCCCCCAGGACAGCCACCUCCCGGUGCUGAAGAGCCGGCCCUCCGCAGAGCCGCCCGCCGUUCCUUUUUCCUAUGCAUAUACUUCUUUGAGGAUCUGGCCUAAAGAGACCACGAAGCUGCACCGUGUGGGGCCCACUUUUUACACAAGUGGGUGGUGGUGGAUCCAGGCGAAGACAGGAGUGAGGAGUGGCGGAGACGCGUGCACGCUGGGUCUGUGCGCUUCUGCUGCUGCUUUUUUU
rnacentral:antisense_RNA from 1 species